rnacentral:rRNA from 1 species
UGGGGAAUUUUGGACAAUGGGCGAAAGCCUGAUCCAGCAAUGCCGCGUGUGUGAAGAAGGCCUUCGGGUUGUAAAGCACUUUUGUCCGGAAAGAAAUCCUCUGGGUUAAUACCUCGGGGGGAUGACGGUACCGGAAGAAUAAGCACCGGCUAACUACGUGCCAGCAGCCGCAGUAAUACGUAGGGUGCAAGCGUUAAUCGGAAUUACUGGGCGUAAAGCGUGCGCAGGCGGUUUUGUAAGACGGAUGUGAAAUCCCCGGGCUUAACCUGGGAACUGCAUUCGUGACUGCAAGGCUAGAGUAUGGCAGAGGGGGGUUAGAAUUCCACGUGUAGCAGUGAAAUGCGUAGAGAUGUGGAGGAAUACCGAUGGCGAAGGCAGCCCCCUGGGCCAAUAUUGACGCUCAUGCACGAAAGCGUGGGGAGCAAACAGGAUUAGAUACCCUGGUAGUCCACGCCCUAAACGAUGUCAACUAGUUGUUGGGGAUUCAUUUCCUUAGUAACGUAGCUAACGCGUGAAGUUGACCGCCUGGGGAGUACGGUCGCAAGAUUAAAACUCAAAUGAAUUGACGGGGUCAUAGCUGUUUCC